rnacentral:lncRNA from 1 species
AGCAGUCCUCCUGCCUUGGCCUCCCAAAGUGCUGGGAUUACAGGUGUGAGCCCCCACACCCAGCCUGUUUUUGUUUAUUCCAAUCAGGAUCCAGAGAAUACCACUGACUCACGGGCCUCCUUCUGGUUCCUGCCUCUGCCUUCCCAUUGUCCUGGGUUGUCCUGCGGCAGUGGACCUGGGUGCGUUCCACCCGUGUUUUUGGGAAGCCCGCUUCUGGGCAUCCAUCAGGGCAGGUGUCGUCCAUGUGCUGAGCCGGGUGGCACUGAGAUCUGCAUGCCACCUCCGUUCCAUCGCUCGUCUCCACGUGUUAGUUGGAGUGUGCGUCCAGCCUGGAGCAGGUUGUAUGUUCUCGUCCACCUCAGCACGCUCUUGUCCGGUGUGGACGCUGCCAACUCCACUCUACGUUGAAGAAGUCGAGAGGCAAGAGGUUCCGGAGUGCUCCAGAUUGACACCCCCAGGGCACGGUGGCCCCGAGCCGCCUCCCUGACCAGCUCCUGUCUCUGGCCACCAUAUUUUCCUUGGAAAAAAUCAAAAGCAGCGUAUUUUAUGAUGUGAUAAUUUAAGAAUUGAAAUUUCAUGGUGCGUAGCCUGGUUGGAACCAGCCCCACUGGCUCAGCUGUGGUCGCCUUCACCCGUAAGCCCGUCCGUGGUGCAGCUGAGUGUGUGCCAGGAGUGUGCUGCCUGCCUGCCGGUGGCUUUGGGCAGCCCUCUGCACCGUGGCUGGAACUCAUCGUCACUGCAUUGGGACGUUUUCAUGACGACGUCAGAACGAGGAAAGGAGAAAAGGGGACUUUCAGGGCUGCACUUCGAAGCCGCAGUGAACUCUGGAUUAUUUUGUUGUUGAACUGUCAUUGUUGAUGGCAAAGCACCGACUUUCUCAUCCGUCAUACUGUAGCUAUGCUGAGAGCAAACAGCCGACGAUGGAGUCACUGACUCAACACCAGCAAUAUCCCCACUCACAGGAAAGCAGUAUUUAGACACCAGCAAUAUUCCCUACUCACAGGAAAGCAGUGUUUACAAAAUGCUGAAAAUUUAAAAUGGAAUGUCUCAUCACAGCAGAAUUUCUUCUCAGAAGUGAAAAUGAAGAUAUGGCUGUAGUCAGAAUAAGCUUCCAAUUGGCUGAUUCGUUAGCGUUAUGCCAACAGUGAGCUCCUCAGAUCAGGCUGGACUGCCGCAGCUCAAGAGCAAUGUCCAGAGACAGUGAGCUCUUAUUUAUUUAUUUAUUCAA